rnacentral:tRNA from 1 species
GUCUUAUAUUCAAAUAAUGAUAUAAAAUUGCAAAUUUUAUGGUGUAAAAUAUACUAAGGCUU